UGGAUGGCAUCACUGACUCGAUGGAUAUGAGUUUGAGUAAACUCUGGGAGCUGGUGAUAGAAAGAGAGGCCUGGUGUGCCACAGUCCAUGGGGUUGCAAAGAGUCCAACACAACUGAGCGACUGAACUGAACUGGGCACUUUUCCGUGAACAUUUAUGUUUGUUAGGAAGAGGAGCCCAGAUCUAAAUGCAUUUUUUCUAUUGUAGUCUAUUCAGAAUUGAGCAGAAUUAAAAAAAAAAAAGAAUUGAGCAGAAUAUUAUUUCUUGGAUUGUAUUUGCUUUUAUCUACUGCUUAAAAUAUAUACUAUGUCACUCUGGUUUUAGAUCUCCAUUUCAAGCACAUGAGUUAAAUAAUAUUAAGGCUCCUUUAUACAUUCUCCCACUUCUCAUUAAUACCACUGCACUGAUGAAUCUCAAACAAUUCUUUUAAAUUACAUACCUCAUCCAGAUGUUCUCCUGUUUGAAAUCAACAACUGCUUUGGUUAGCUUUCUAAAUGAACUGACAGCUUACAUCAGCAACACGACUGAAUAAGACAUCCCCUGUCAGGUCCAUCUCCAACCAUUUGUCAUCCAUCCUCAAAUGAAAGUGUCAUUGUGAGAAUUUGGGGAUCUGGCACCAUAUGCUAAGGAAACGGAGAGCAGUCUCGCCCACCCAUACACUAGGUGUUAGGCAUAAAGACCUCUGGCCCCAGCAGUGGACCCUACAGUGGUUCAUGAAUCAGUCCUAGCCCCUUUCAGGUACGGUCCAGGAGACCCUGCAACACACUGGCUUAGUCAAUCACCCACAGACAAGAAAGCAUUUGCGGAAGUCAAGGUUCCAACAGAGAAGUCCUAACACACCGAUAGAGCAACAAAAGGGGAAAAAAGGAGGAAUUUGGACAUAUUGGAAACUUUUUAUGCAUUAUCCCUCCCCAAAGGCAUUACAGCCUAGGGCCAAGAUUUUCUCAGAGUAUGACAUCUCCUUAAGGCAAAGUCAAAUAAUGCAAGAGAGUACCCAGCCUCCUCAGUUAUGUAGGACAUGCCGAAGAUACCAGUAAUUCUCUCUCACUUCAUCCAAAAAAGAAGUGGCAAUUAUGUGAGGGGAUGUAGGUUUUAACUAACCGUACUGUAAUAACCAUUUUGAAAUGUAAGUAUAGCAAAUCAACACAGUUUUGGAGUACCUUAAACGUAGACAAUGUUAUAUGUCAAUUAUGUCUCAAUAAAGCUGGAAAGAGUAGACUGGAAGCUAUUUUAAUAAAUAAUGAAUAAAUGGACACUUUUCUCAUUGUAUAGAGAGCCUUACACUCGUGCCAGCGAUGCAUCAUGAACACACUUGGACCCAUGUCUUUGGCUCAGCUUUGCGUACAUGAGCACAAUCCCAGCUCUCUCAAACAGAAAUACAUCUCAAUAUUACUUUCCCCAGAAGAGUUAGUUGAAGUAUAAAAUAAUAUUGAAUCAGCAUUAUGGAAUCUGGUGGCUCAAAGUUAGCUUUUCACGCCAUGCAUAGAACUGAACACAGUAAUAAAAUAAAACAUAAUGGAAUAACUCCCAGGGGAAUAUAGAAAUUAUAGUACUCAGAUACAAACGCUGAAAUUAGUUGCUUGCAUUUUGUGUUUCCGAGUAAACCUUUCUGAACACUGCAGAGACAUAACUGGCAUUUGAAAAGAUGUCUUUACCUGUUUGAUCAUUCUUUCAAGAUCUGCCAAUCUGAAGCAUCCUUGACUGUCUUCUUGGGAAGACUAUUCUAGGUGUAUGGUGUACAGGGUCAACUUCGAACCUCUGCACAUGCUCAAGGAAGCCACUGAAUGACCUGCUCAAUGGUUCGACAUUUUUUCCUUUCCAACUGCUAGCAUUCAGCUUACAUCUCCCCCUCUUCCUCUAAGUCUG
rnacentral:lncRNA from 1 species